CCUUAUAGCACGCCGUGCUAAGCACGGUAUACUACAACGAUGAUGUUCGCAAUUUAUCUGUCUUGUUAUUAGCAGAUAAUGCGCAGACUCUAGGAUUACAGAAAGGGGAUUUCGGAAUAAACGAAGGAUCGAUCGCGAUCUUUCAUGGUACUGUCUUUUGGCCGGCCACAGUAACAGAUGUCUCUCAAACUCGUGAUUUAUACUUAGGCAUGUAUAAUUAGGCGAGGAAUUUAAUCAUAUCUAACUGAAUUCUUCUUAGGAAAAGAAAUCUAUCAGGACUUGUGCUGUGUUUAAUAUUCAUACAUGCAUCGUAACUAUAACGCAAAAUUUGUUCACACUACGUUUGGCUGAUAUUUUAAUUGUAACGAGAUCAAAUAGUGCGGAACGUGCGAAUUCCAUUCGAGCGAAUUAGAUUAAUAGACACAAUCAACUUUGCGGCACUUUUUUGCAUAUUAAACGUAUCGAAGGAAUAAUCGUUAAUAUUUUAUAAUGUUAGCCACAUGUCCAUACAGAGCUAUAUCAGUACGUAUAGUAAUUAUUGAUAAUAAGAUUUUCAGAGAAGGAGAGAUUAUAUUCAUCGUAAUUGAUAGAAAUUUAAUCAAAAGAACACACGAGACGAUGAAUUUCAAAAUAAACUUGUUAUUCAUACUUGUUGUCUUUAGCAUGUUUAGCAUGGGGUACCCAUGUCCAUCAAAGAAACCUGAAUUUUGUAAUCUCAGGUAUGACCCUGGUCCUUGCAUUAAGAAUAUUAAGAAUCCUCAGUUCAUAAUUCAAAGGAGAUAUUGGUUUUCGACAGAU